AGGGAGUCCCUGGUCUGUGAAGCCUAGGUCACCUGCUGGGGCUAAGGGAAGACGGCAGAAUUGCAGAUUUUAGAGACAGUGCAGGUGCUCAGCCAUAUGCUAUAGACGGAUGGGGCGGGUGAGGCGCCCUGGAGGACAGUGACUUGGGAAACACGGUGAGGUUGUGGAUGACACUGUAGACCUCUGCUCUGGUCCACGGCUGGCUUGUAGUUUCUCUGCGUGCAUCCCCUCCUAUGACAGGUGGAGGAAGAAGGGGCCGGUGUACAAGAUGGCAGAGGAGAAAUGAUGCCAGCAAGGACUUUUCCCCGUUAGUUUUCUGUGUGUCAUGUUCUGAGUCAGAGCAGGAAGCGGUCCUGGCGAUCACGUAGCAAAACCCUCUCCUUUCACAGGAGAGCCAACAGAACCGAGGGGUGGAGUGACCUGCCUAAGAUCAAAAAGGUGCAGAACUGCAACUCCAGUGCUGGCCUUUUCCUCUCCAGAUCAGCACCCUCUUCGGAAGGUGAGAUGAGGGGAGCCUGGCUGGCUCAGUCGGUUAAGCGUGUGGCUUUGGCUCAGGUCAUGAUCACGGUUGGUGAGUUUGAGCCCCCCAUUGGGUUCACCGCUGUCAGCAUAGACUGUUUCAGAUCCCCUGCCCCCCGUCUCUCUCUGCCCCUCCCCCUGCGUGCGCACGCGCUCUCUCUUGAAAAUAAAUAAACAUUAAAAAAAAAAAGGAGGUGAGAUGAUGUGUCAGAAGACACACGUGGCAGGAGAGGAGCACCGAUGAGAUGGACAGAUGGACAGACGCCGGAGGAGGAGAAGGUGGCCUGGAGGAAGGGGCAGGCCCAUGUGGGUCCCACAACCACCUUGACUAGCCCUCACUGGCAGGGUCUCUUCCAAUCCAGCCUCCAAGCUCCCUCUCCAGCGAUGGCAAAUGGCUCUACGAUGACAUCCCACGGAACCAAGAGAGGCGCAGUGAACUCUCGGAGGUUUUUGCUCAGAAUUGGACGAGCUCUCCCCCGAGAGCUCCCAGGAGGACACGAGCCCAUGAGAGUCUCGGCCCAGCCUCACGGAUUCGGUCCCUCCGCUUGGCAUCCGCCUUUGUCUCCCGCCUCAGACAGGAAACAAAAAAGCGCGCGCAGUCAAAUCCACCCACAAGGGCAAAUCCCCAGGAAGGCUUGUCAAAAAAUUGCUGUGGGAGAGAUGAUCCAUGGGCUCGCGCCUCAGUGGGCUCCAAUGAGGAGCAACAAAGGCCAGGAGCUUUGCUUUCUCCCCCCUCCCGACUCCCGCUGCCCCGCUGCUGCCCUCCUCCUCAUUGUUCCAGGGCCUUUAUCACUGCUUCCUAAUUCAUUUCCCCGUCUUCCGUCCCCCCACCUACAAGGGACGCCACACUAUCACUGUCAAAUUAACAAUCGCCUUUUUUUGGCCGGGGUGGGGGGGGGGGAGGUGGUUGACUUGACCUCACAUCGCUGGAGAAAUCUUUCUAAGGCACAGAUCUGAUCUCAUCCCUCCUCCGCUUGAAUCUGCCGGUGGGCUUGCUCGCGCGUCACCCGAGGUUAGUAUUUUUCCCCUGCACGCUGGUCACUUGCCUGCCUGGCUGUCUCCCCCACUGCCCUUGGGGAGGGCAGGUCCCACGCCCUGUCCCCAUCAUGGGCCCUUUGGGGGGCACUGCUGUCUCUGGCCACAGCCACAGAGAUCUUUAUCCCUUCCCUCAAAAGUUUUCUUCCCUCCCUGCUGAGCCCUCUCACACCUUGUUUUCUUUGCUAGAACAUUUCCCUUUGAUGCUCCCUCAGACAGCCUUCCCCGAACCCCCAGAUGAGGCUAGUACCCCAGUCUCCUCCCCCUGUGUCGUCUGAUGAGCCCUGAAACCUGGGCUGAUGCCUUCAUAAUAUUUCACUAUCAAUAGGUACAUUACAUUAUCAACAACCAAAUAGCACUUGGGAGAAAUAACACCUUUACUAUGCUCGCCUUGAAAUGUGAAGUCUAAAGCAAAGCAUAGCACCCCGAAAUAUAAUACCAUGUUGCCAUGAGACUUCCGAGCAUACUUUUGACAAUGGAUUGGUUUUGAUUCAGACUUAUCAGGUUAUUGAUAAGUUUAGCAACUUCUAUUUUUCUUCCUGCCUGAUUUUUGUAUGCGUACCAAUUUUCUUAGUAUUUCUUAAAUAUUGUAGAUUUAAAAUUAGUUUUUUUAAAUUUUAUUUAUCUAUCUAUCUAUCUAUCUAUCUAUCUAUUUUUGAGAGAAAGAGAGCACGAAUGAGUGAGGGGCAGAGAGAGAGGGAGAGAUAUAGGGAGAAAGAGUGUGGAGCCCAGAGUGGGGCUCAAACCCAUGAAUGGCGAGAUCAUGACCUGGGUCAAAGUCGGAUGCUUAACCAGUCGACCCAGCCACCCAGGCGCCCCAAAUUAGUUGUAUUUUGGAAAAAGAAUGCUAUAUCGUCAGGAUUGGGAAUUCUCAUAAAUUUGAUUAAUAAGGAAUACACUUCAAGAAAACCUGUUCUUAGGU
rnacentral:lncRNA from 1 species